UGGGGAAUCUUGCACAAUGGGGGCAACCCUGAUGCAGCGACGCCGCGUGAGCGAUGAAGCCCUUCGGGGCGUAAAGCUCUUUCGACCGGAACGAUAAUGACGGUACCGGGAGAAGAACCUGCGGCUAACUACGUGCCAGCAGCCGCGGUAAUACGUAGGGUGCAAGCGUUAAUCGGCAUUACUGGGCGUAAAGCGUGCGCAGGCGGUUUUGUAAGACAGAGGUGAAAUCACCGGGCUCAACCUGGGAACUGCCUUUGUGACUGCAAAGCUGGAGUGCGUCAGAGGGGGAUGGAAUUCCGCGUGUAGCAGUGAAAUGCGUAGAUAUGCGGAGGAACACCGAUGGCGAAGGCAGUCCCAUGGGCCUGCACUGACGCUCAUGCACG
rnacentral:rRNA from 1 species